CUGGGGGCCUACAAGCAGGUCCAGAAGGGACCCCUGAAGCCGAAAGGCAUCACAGAGCUUGGAGUGACCAAGCAGAAGAAGAAAAAGAAGCACAAAGACAAGGCACAACUCAGGAAGAGAUGGGAACAAGCAAAAAGAAUGAGGAGAAGUGGUGCGGCCUGUUCAAGCUGACCCUAGCCCAGGAGAAAGUGCAGGAGAAGCGACACAUGGAAAGGAUCCUGAAGAAAGCAUCCCAGACCCACAGGCAGAGAGAGGAGGACUUCAGCAGACACCUGGACGCACACACGGAGCAUCGCGACACCCCCAAAGUCAGCUGGACCCA
rnacentral:lncRNA from 1 species